rnacentral:snoRNA from 1 species
AUGACCUUACUUGAACAGGAUCUGUUGUAUAAGCUUGUACCUUUGUAUUCUCGAUUCCCAAAAUAGACAGAAACCCAUAUCUAGUUGAUGAACUAGGACAAUGUAACCAGAGCGUGGCCUAUUUUCUCAUGCUUGACAUGGUUACAUGGUUGUCCGACAGACA